GACGAACGCUGACGGCGUGCCUAAUACAUGCAAGUUGAGCGAUGAAGAUUGGUGCUUGCACCAAUUUGAAGAGCAGCGAACGGGUGAGUAACGCGUGGGGAAUCUGCCUUUGAGCGGGGGACAACAUUUGGAAACGAAUGCUAAUACCGCAUAAUAACUUUAAACAUAAGUUUUAAGUUUGAAAGAUGCAAUUGCAUCACUCAAAGAUGAUCCCGCGUUGUAUUAGCUAGUUGGUGAGGUAAAGGCUCACCAAGGCGAUGAUACAUAGCCGACCUGAGAGGGUGAUCGGCCACAUUGGGACUGAGACACGGCCCAAACUCCUACGGGAGGCAGCAGUAGGGAAUCUUCGGCAAUGGACGAAAGUCUGACCGAGCAACGCCGCGUGAGUGAAGAAGGUUUUCGGAUCGUAAAACUCUGUUGGUAGAGAAGAACGUUGGUGAGAGUGGAAAGCUCAUCAAGUGACGGUAACUACCCAGAAAGGGACGGCUAACUACGUG
rnacentral:rRNA from 1 species